rnacentral:rRNA from 1 species
GAUGAACGCUGGCGGCGUGCCUAAUACAUGCAAGUCGAACGCUUCACUUCGGUGAAGAGUGGCGAACGGGUGAGUAAUACAUAAGUAACCUGGCAUCUACAGGGGGAUAACUGAUGGAAACGUCAGCUAAGACCGCAUAGGUGUAGAGAUCGCAUGAACUCUAUAUGAAAAGUGCUACGGGACUGGUAGAUGAUGGACUUAUGGCGCAUUAGCUUGUUGGUAGGGUAACGGCCUACCAAGGCGACGAUGCGUAGCCGACCUGAGAGGGUGACCGGCCACACGGGGACUGAGACACGGCCCAGACUCCUACGGGAGGCAGCAGUAGGGAAUUUUCGGCAAUGGGGGAAACCCUGACCGAGCAACGCCGCGUGAAGGAAGAAGUAAUUCGUUAUGUAAAAUUCUGUCAUAGAGGAAGAACGGUGGAUAUAGGGAAUGAUAUCCAAGUGACGGUACUCUAUAAGAAAGCCACGGCUAACUACGUG